GCGGGGCAGGCGUGGGUGCACCCAGACCCCCCAACCCUGAUGUCCCCAAUACCAAGGGCAGAGAGCAGCCCUGGCCGGUCCUUGGAGGAUGCGGGCGCCGAGGGGGCCGGGGUCAGUCGGUUCAGAGUCGGAGCAUAAGCCCGGUGGCCGAGUCGGCCGGGUGGUGGGGCGCCGGGGGGGCCGGAGCCGGGCAGGGCAGUGACCCGCUUGCCGGGGUCAAAGUCGCCAGUGUGGGCCGCGGAAGAGGAGCGGCCAGGCGGGGCGCAGACACCCCUCACCCCAUCCUGGGCCGCGCCGGUGCCACCGGGCAGUCCUCGGGGCAGGAGCCCACCGAGGGGAGACAGCGCUGCUCCUGCCCCCACCUCUCCAGAGGCACAGACAACAGGGUUCUGAUCUUGGGUCAUGGUGCUCCCCCUGCCAGCCUCAGUCCGAGACCUCUGUGAAUGGCGGUGAUGGCUAAUGGGAUGAGGGGGACCACCUCCUGGUGGCUGCAGGGACUGGGGUGAGGGUGCUGUAGGCUCUGCCUAAGUCAAGUGCCAUGGGGCUGAAGAGACGGCGCACCGGCCCUGGAGAAGAGUCCUCCCUGCCCUCCUGUGUCUGGCCUUGUUUCCUGGAGGACAGGUCCCCACGGGGCAGAGGCCCAGCAGUCCCAGGGUCCUCAGCUUCCACCACCCCCAGGCGACGUCUGCUCACCCUGGCUGCCCGCAGCAAGAUUCCUGUUAUCUGGGUAGAGUCCUCAGCCUCCGCCACCCCCAGGCGAUGUCUGCUCACCUUGCCUGCCUUAAGCAAGAUUCCUGUUACCUGGGUUCCUUAGCCUCUGCCACCUCCAGGCCGUGUCUGCUAACCCUGUCUGCCGUCAGCAAGCUUCGUUUUACCUGGGUAGGUUCCUUAGCCUCUGCCACCUCCAGGCCGUGUCUGCUAACCCUGUCUGCCGUCAGCAAGCUUCAUUUUACCUGGGUAGGGUUCUCAGCCUCCGCCACCCCCAGGCGAUGUCUGCUAACCCUGCCUGCCCUCAGCAAGCUUCCUGUUUCC
rnacentral:lncRNA from 1 species